UACGUAGGGUGCGAGCGUUGUCCGGAAUUAUUGGGCGUAAAGAGCUCGUAGGCGGUCUGUCGCGUCUGCUGUGAAAACUCGGGGCUUAACCCCGGGCCUGCAGUGGGUACGGGCAGGCUAGAGUUCGGGUAGGGGAGACUGGAAUUCCUGGUGUAGCGGUGAAAUGCGCAGAUAUCAGGAGGAACACCGGUGGCGAAGGCGGGUCUCUGGGCCGAUACUGACGCUGAGGAGCGAAAGCGUGGGGAGCGAACAGG
rnacentral:rRNA from 1 species